CCCGCUGAACUUAAGCAUAUCAAUAAGCGGAGGAAAAGAAACUAACAAGGAUUCCCCUAGUAACUGCGAGUGAAGCGGGAAAAGCUCAAAUUUAAAAUCUGGCGGUCUUGCGGCCGUCCGAGUUGUAAUCUGGAGAAGCGUUUAUCCGCGUCGGACCGUGUACAAGUCUUCUGGAAGGGAGCGUCGUAGAGGGUGAGAAUCCCGUCUUUGACACGGACAACCGGUGCUUUUGUGAUGCGCUCUCGAAGAGUCGAGUUGUUUGGGAAUGCAGCUCAAAAUGGGUGGUAAAUUCCAUCUAAAGCUAAAUAUUGGCGAGAGACCGAUAGCGAACAAGUACCGUGAGGGAAAGAUGAAAAGAACUUUGGAAAGAGAGUUAAACAGUACGUGAAAUUGCUGAAAGGGAAACGCUUGAAGUCAGUCGCGUUGGCCAGGGAUCAACCUUGCUUUUGCUUGGCUUACUUUCUGGUCGAUGGGUCAGCAUCAAUUUUGACUGGUGGAAAAAGUUCAAGGGAAUGUGGCAUCUUCGGAUGUGUUAUAGCCUUUGUUCACAUACAUUGGUUGGGAUUGAGGAACUCAGCACGCCGCAAGGCCGGGUUUUUAACCACGUACGUGCUUAGGAUGCUGGCAUAAUGGCUUUAAUCGACCCGUCUUGAAACACGG
rnacentral:rRNA from 1 species